rnacentral:rRNA from 2 species
UACGGCGGUCAUAGCGUAGGGGAAACGCCCGGUCCCAUCCCGAACCCGGAAGCUAAGCCCUACAGCGCCGAUGGUACUGCAACCGGGAGGUUGUGGGAGAGUAGGACGCCGCCGGAC